rnacentral:rRNA from 1 species
CCUACGGGUGGCAGCAGUGGGGAAUAUUGCACAAUGGGGGAAACCCUGAUGCAGCGACGCCGCGUGAGUGAAGAAGUAUUUCGGUAUGUAAAGCUCUAUCAGCAGGGACGAAGCAAGACGGUACCCGACUAAGAAGCCCCGGCUAACUAUGUGCCAGCAGCCGCGGUAAUACGUAGGGGGCAAGCGUUAUCCGGAUUUACGGGGGGUAAAGGGAGCGUAGACGGUAUGGCAAGUUUGAAGUGAAAGCCCAGGGCUUAACCCUGGUACUGCAUUGGAAACUGUUAGACUAGAGUGCUGGAGAGGUAAGUGGAAUUCCGUGUGUAGCGGUGAAAUGCGUAGAUAUUAGGAGGAACAACAGUGGCGAAGGCGGCUCUCUGGUCUGCAACUGACGCUGAGGCUCGAAAGCAUGGGUAGCGAACAGGAUUAGAUACCCGAGUAGUC